rnacentral:rRNA from 1 species
CCUACGGGAGGCAGCAGUGAGGAAUAUUGGUCAAUGGACGAGAGUCUGAACCAGCCAAGUAGCGUGCAGGAUGACGGCCCUAUGGGUUGUAAACUGCUUUUUAUAAGGGAAUAAAGUGAGUCUCGUGAGACUUUUUGCAUGUACCUUAUGAAUAAGGACCGGCUAAUUCCGUGCCAGCAG